GUUCAAAGGAUGCCAUCAUGGGGCCCUCUAUGGCAAGGAUGCCAUCAUGUAAAGCUGUGUUCCUCGCGGGAGGUCUCAGUGUUCGGCACAAGACACGCUGGGAAUAUAGCUUGGAGUGAAUA